UCAAUAAAUCUUCAAGUGUUGGUUGGUUAUAUUUCCCUCCACCUAUCAUGUGUGUGUAUCCACAAAAACACCGCCUAACCAACCAUUCCCAUGGCCUUCACCACCACGGCCUUACAGCAGUUACAGAAACUCCCUUCUUCCUUCACUCUUCCUCGACAUAACAAGCCAUCAUCUCCCUUCUUCUCUUUUUCCUUUUCCCUUUCCCCCUUUCGCCCACUCCCCCAAACCUCCUUAAUAUCACUGCUCCCCUUCAGGCCAAUUCAGUGCAUCAAGAAUGAUGUUGGAGCUGACCCCAAGCAAGGUGUCAGUGUUUACAAGCCUAAGUCUUAUCAAGUACUUGCUUCUGAUGCAGCCACUUCCCUCUUUUAUGCACUUAAUGAUGGAAAGACCAGACUCGAAAUUGAUUUCCCGCCCUUGCCCACCAACGUUUCUUCAUAUAAGGGGUCUUCGGAUGAGUUCAGCGAUGCCAAUAUCCAACUUGUACUAGCUGUUGUUAAGAAGCUUCAGGAAAAGAUGGAAACUAGAGCUUGUGUGGUGUUUCCUGACAAACCAGAAAAGCGUAGGGCCACCGAUCUUUUCAAAGCAGCUCUUGACUCGAUAGAUGGUAUUACCAUUGGAUCCUUGGAUGAUAUUCCUGGGGGCGCUGUGACCUCAUUCUUCAGAUCUGUAAGGAAUACACUGGACUUCGAUUUUGAGGAUGAGAAUGAAGGUCGUUGGAAGUCUGACCAGCCUCCUACACUUUAUAUAUUUAUCAACUGCAGCACUCGUGACCUCUCGUACAUUGAGAAGUAUGUGGAUAAAUUUGCUAAGUCAACCCCUAGCCUCCUUUUCAAUCUUGAACUUGACACCUUGCGCGCCGACCUGGGCAUUAUAGGCUUUCCACCAAGGGAAUUGCAUUACCAAUUUCUUUCUCAAUUCAUCCCCGUCUUUUAUAUUAGAACACGAGACUACUCAAAGACAGUUGCAGUGGAACCUUAUAUUGUGAACUACAGCGGAGCUCUCUUCCGUCAAUAUCCGGAUUAUUUUCUUGGUGUUCACUCCAGUAGAACAACAGUGGAACAGAAAUUUGAGGAUCUGCAUACUAGAUGUUUAAGUAUAUUGAAUAUAUGUGACUCAUAAAUAUUUCUGAUCCUUGCAAGGGCCUUGGCAGGUGAUGCUUAAACAAACAGAUGGUUCUUUUGUUUGUGUGGCAGAGAGCGCAACUCGCUUCACUCUUAACGAAACCAAGGAAGAACUACUGAGAGUCCUCGGACUGCAAGAAGAGAAAGGAAGCUCGCUCGAAUUUCUCAGAAGAGGAUACAAGACUGCGACUUGGUGGGAAGAAGAUGUUGACUUAGAAGCAUCCUCUGCAUGGCGUAGUUGAACAGAAGUUUCCACAGCGGAAGAGGAUGGUGGAUGGUGGAGGAACAAGCUAGUAAAUUACUUUGGGACAAUGCUUUUUGUGUUUAUUCUUCUUUGCAGUAACUUGUAUUUCAACUAAAAAGAAGGUUGUCUUAAAAAAGUGACAAGUCCUGUGAUGUUUCUUUGUAUUGUCCCACCCUAUAUAUAUAUAUAUAUUUGAAUAUAGGUACUAA